AUUCUACUCCCUCUGUUGCACAAUAUGCCUUGUAUUUGUCAAAAUAUAUAUGUAUCUAGACAUGUUUUAGUAUAUAGGCACAUCCAUUUUUGGACAAAUGGAAGUCAAGUAUUUUGGAACGGAGGGAGUACACA
rnacentral:pre_miRNA from 1 species